rnacentral:rRNA from 1 species
UACGUAGGGGGCAAGCGUUGUCCGGAAUCAUUGGGCGUAAAGCGCGUGUAGGCGGCUCGGUAAGUCCGCUCUGAAAGUCCAGGGCUCAACCCUGGGAUGCGGGUGGAUACUGCCGGGCUCGAGUCCGGAAGAGGCGAGUGGAAUUCCUGGUGUAGCGGUGAAAUGCGCAGAUAUCAGGAGGAACACCCAUUGCGAAGGCAGCUCGCUGGGACGUUACUGACGCUGAGACGCGAAAGCGUGGGGAGCAAACAGG